rnacentral:misc_RNA from 1 species
UUAACUUGUUUUUUUGUUUUAACUCGGACGUGCCACUGGGUUACAACAAGAGUUUGGUUUGCGCUCCUCCGGCGGGAGCCCGGCUCAGGCCGGGCCCCGGGGCCCCUCCCAGGGGCCUCCCGCCGAAGCAACUGACAAUGGUAGGUUCACAAAGGGUUGAAGAGUACGGAUACUCCUUUCGUAAUGAUCCCUCCGCUGGUUCACCAACGGAGA